UUCUUUGCCUAAUUCUGGUAUACCAACAAUUGAGAUAACAUCUAGGUUUGAUGAUCUUUUGAUUAGCUAAUUGUAUAGUUAUCACCUGUACACUUGCACAAAAUUAUUAUUGAACCUUGAUGUUAUCUCAGUGUUGGCAUGCAUAAAUUGGGUAAAUUUAU